CUCCCUCCCCUCGUCGCGGCUCACCCACGCCCCGAGCGGCCGACUGGGCGCGGUCCCGGCCCGCGGGAGAAGCUCCGAGCCGGGGUGUGGCAGCCUCGGGGCUCGUGGUGCCUGGCUUUGUCAGUUUGUCGUCCCUCAAGGACUCGGUGACUCUUCCUGCAGGUUUUAGCUCCUUCCUCCCUUCAAAGCGUGCGCUCCACCUUCCUCUGCAGCAACCGAGGGGAGCCGGUGCCACGCCACUGUGAAAAACCCAAACCUGUCCUGGCAGCCGUGUCAUGUGUGUGCUUUCAAAACAGCAUCUGUUUGAGACCUGAGACUGCCUGUUCCCAGUGGAGGAAGUGGGCUGAUAAAGCUUAUCGCCUUGGCCCGAGCUCUUCCAUCUCUCCUGCAUUAGUCUGAGCCGUGGUGCCACCGGAGAAGGUUGCAGAGAUAGUGCAGGGCCAGGCCCUUUCUGGGUAGGAUGCUACUGAGGCCCGCCCUGCCUGGGGCUCAGGGGUCGGGCUUCCCCAUCCUAUACAGACAUGCACGAUGAAUGCAUGAACUCUCAUCCACCAAUGGAGAAACCUAAGUUGGGGUUUUCUUUUUAUCUGCUUUCCAGCUGGGGAAGAUGGGAAUGCAUCGCAAGCAGGUGAGGAGAGGAGAACUGUGAAAACUGAUAUGACUCAAAAUGAAAGCAAACGGUUUCCUCUUUGAAGAUGUGGGCCUUUUUAAAAAAAGUGAUACGGAAAAUGUUAAAAAUAGACCAAGUUCCUGACUAUACUCAAGAUUGCAUGGGCUUUGUCACUGGAUUCAAGGGGAGGCAUUUACUGAAAUGCUUAGCAUAACAGCUGAGGGAGAAGAGUGAUCAUCAAAUGAAAUUAUGGGGUGGCAGGUUCAAAAGAAGGUGCUUCUUCAAAUCUUGGAACUCACUGCUACAGGAUGUCAGGAAGCAGUUCAAAAAGCAAUUAAGCAUGAUCAUGGAAGAAAAAUCUGUGCAGGGAUGUUCAACAAAAACACCUCUGAUUCAGGAACUCUUUGAGGUGCAAAUCCGCAUCCUGCGGAAGCGUUUUGGGGAGCAGCCUCCCCUGUGCUCAUGCUGCCAUUAGGCAAUUACUGCUGGCUGCUCUGGAGAUAGUCCUGGACUGGGCUUGAAAUGCUGCUGUUCUGACCCAGCACAGUCAUCCCUACAUUUAACUGUUAUUUCAUUCAACAUGGGCUUUUUCAAAAUCUUUUAUUAGUCAUAGACAGCAAUUCUUGCAAUAAAUCUUUGUGGCACAGAAAUGCUCUUUCUUUAUGCUCUGUACCUCUCUUGUUCUUUCCUGCCUGGUACUUUGAUUGAAGGAUGGAAGGUUGCUUUGCUGCGUGGUUGUAUAAUGCCACAUUAUCGAGCUGAGCGCUGCUCUGCGCCUGUAUUUCCUGGUUAAUUAUUUGAUAUAAAUAAAUAUUAAUAAUCUGUAUUUCUGAAGGUGGCCACAA